CAGUCACACUGCUAAAAUCAAAAAUUGAUAUUUUGGCAAUUACUUCAGUGUUUGGGUCUGGUGGUGGUCAAAAUUGUUUUUAAAGAUUCAUAGUUUCACUUU